GAUGAACGCUGGCGGCGUGCCUAAUACAUGCAAGUCGAGCGAACAGACGAGGAGCUUGCUCCUCUGAUGUUAGCGGCGGACGGGUGAGUAACACGUGGAUAACCUACCUAUAAGACUGGGAUAACUUCGGGAAACCGGAGCUAAUACCGGAUAACAUGUUGAACCGCAUGGUUCAACAGUGAAAGACGGUCUUGCUGUCACUUAUAGAUGGAUCCGCGCCGCAUUAGCUAGUUGGUAAGGUAACGGCUUACCAAGGCAACGAUGCGUAGCCGACCUGAGAGGGUGAUCGGCCACACUGGAACUGAGACACGGUCCAGACUCCUACGGGAGGCAGCAGUAGGGAAUCUUCCGCAAUGGGCGAAAGCCUGACGGAGCAACGCCGCGUGAGUGAAGAAGGUCUUCGGAUUGUAAAACUCUGUUAUUAGGGAAGAACAAAUGUGUAAGUAACUAUGCACGUCUUGACGGUACCUAAUCAGAAAGCCACGGCUAACUACGUG
rnacentral:rRNA from 1 species